CUUCAGAUAUACAGGUAGAGGCUUGCACACCUGUUUCCACGACUCUACAGGUGUGUCUUGUACAGGUAGAGGCUUGCACACCUGUUCCCACGACUCUACAGGUGUGUCUUGUACAGGUAGAGGCUUGCACACCUGUUCCCACGACUCUACAGGUGUGUCUUGUACAGGUAGAGGCUUGCACACCCGUCUCACCUGUUUUCACGAUUCUACAGGUGUAUAGAGGCAAGUCACACCUGUCACCUGUAUGUAUCUGCACGACUCCACAGGUUUGUCCAGACAGGGAGGACCCUACACCUGUCACUGCACAAAUCUACAAGUAUGUCUUGUACAGGUAAGACCCUACACCUGCCGCACGCCGCUCAACAGGUGUGUCCAUACAGGGAAGACCACACCUGCACCGGCUCCCCAGGCCAGUCCAUCCCAACACAGGCAGUCCACGUGCUUCCAGGCCACCCAGACCAUCCAGACCAGCCACCUCCUCCCUCCAGGCACGUACACACACACA